UGGGGAAUUUUGGACAAUGGGCGAAAGCCUGAUCCAGCAAUGCCGCGUGUGUGAAGAAGGCCUUCGGGUUGUAAAGCACUUUUGUCCGGAAAGAAAUCCUCUGGGUUAAUACCUCGGGGGGAUGACGGUACCGGAAGAAUAAGCACCGGCUAACUACGUGCCAGCAGCCGCGGUAAUACGUAGGGUGCAAGCGUUAACCGGAAUUACUGGGCGUAAAGCGUGCGCAGGCGGUUUUGUAAGACGGAUGUGAAAUCCCCGGGCUUAACCUGGGAACUGCAUUCGUGACUGCAAGGCUAGAGUAUGGCAGAGGGGGGUAGAAUUCCACGUGUAGCAGUGAAAUGCGUAGAGAUGUGGAGGAAUACCGAUGGCGAAGGCAGCCCCCUGGGCCAAUACUGACGCUCAUGCACGAAAGCGUGGGGAGCAAACAGGAUUAGAUACCCUGGUAGUCCACGCCCUAAACGAUGUCAACUAGUUGUUGGGGAUUCAUUUCCUUAGUAACGUAGCUAACGCGUGAAGUUGACCGCCUGGGGAGUACGGUCGCAAGAUUAAAACUCAAAGGAAUUGACGGGG
rnacentral:rRNA from 1 species